UACGUAGGGUGCGAGCGUUGUCCGGAAUUACUGGGCGUAAAGAGCUCGUAGGUGGUUUGUCGCGUUGUUCGUGAAAUCUCACGGCUUAACUGUGAGCGUGCGGGCGAUACGGGGCAGACUGGAGUACUGCAGGGGAGACUGGAAUUCCUGGUGUAGCGGUGGAAUGCGCAGAUAUCAGGAGGAACACCGGUGGCGAAGGCGGGUCUCUGGGCCUUACCUGACGCUGAGGAGCGAAAGCGUGGGGAGCGAACAGG
rnacentral:rRNA from 1 species